GACGAACGCUGGCGGCGUGCUUAACACAUGCAAGUCGAACGGAAAGGCCCUGCUUUUGUGGGGUGCUCGAGUGGCGAACGGGUGAGUAACACGUGAGUAACCUGCCCUUGACUUUGGGAUAACUUCAGGAAACUGGGGCUAAUACCGGAUAGGAGCUCCUGCUGCAUGGUGGGGGUUGGAAAGUUUCGGCGGUUGGGGAUGGACUCGCGGCUUAUCAGCUUGUUGGUGGGGUAGUGGCUUACCAAGGCUUUGACGGGUAGCCGGCCUGAGAGGGUGACCGGCCACAUUGGGACUGAGAUACGGACCAGAAUCCUACGGGAGGCAGCAGUGGGGAAUAUUGCAGAAUGGGCGGAAGCCUGAUGCAGCAACGCCGCGUGCGGGAUGACGGCCUUCGGGUUGUAAACCGCUUUCGCCUGUGACGAAGCGUGAGUGACGGUAAUGGGUAAAGAAGCACCGGCUAACUACGUG
rnacentral:rRNA from 1 species